rnacentral:rRNA from 1 species
GUGUCAGCCGCCGCGGUAAAACGUAGGAGGCGAGCGUUAUCCGGAGUUACUGGGCGUAAAGCGCGUGCAGGCGGCAGAAUAAGUGGCGGGUGAAAGCGCCCGGCUCAACCGGGCAAGCGCCGGUCAGACUGUCCUGCUGGAGUACCGGUGAGGGACGUGGAAUUCCGGGUGUAGCGGUGAAAUGUGCAGAGAUCCGGAGGAACACCAGCGGCGCAAGCGGCGUCCUGGACGGAGACUGACGCUGAGACGCGACAGCGUGGGGAGCGAACGGGAUUAGAUACCCCUGUAGUCC